GUGGAGAAAGACAUGCCAAAGUGCUCUAUGAAAUUUCACUCUGUACUUUCUGAGGCCAGCCAGAGUGCCCAUGAAUCAGCUGCAACAGACAGAUAGCCAAACCUGGCCAGGGAACAGCUAUAAAUGUGAAAGAAGAAAUCACAGGAUCAAAAACACAGGAUGUUUCAUCUAUCAAAUUGGAACAAAAUGAUAAAAAUACCCAUGGUGAAUGAAAGUGUGAGGAAACAGACCCUUAACUCUUCUGAUAAGCUGCAAAGUAAAUGUUGUGGUGCAGGAUUCAAUCUCUGGAGGAAGACAGUACCCUAGAGGAUGAUGGAGCAAUGAAAUAGAAAGAGGUUGGCCCUGGAGGAUCUUCUGGAGCAGAGCUGCCUCCCUAUCUAUAUCACAUGCCUGGAUUGUUACAUGACAGAAACAUAUGCUAUGUUAUUUGAGUCCUGAACUUUAGGUGUCUCUCUCUCUCUCUCUCUCGGUGUCUCUCUCCUUCUCUUAUCUCUCACUUUAAUCUCCAUCUCUAGAUCUCUUAAAAUUGCCUUAGCCUUAACCUUUACUAAUCCAUGACUGAAAGAGUUAGAGAUCACAUGGAUAGAGAUGGAACAAGAACUCCAUUCCUAAUCCUGACUCCAGAGCCAAUACCCUUUCCACUUACAUUAGGUAAAUAAGCUCUUGGGGGUAAGAAGCAACUAUUGCUGCAAAGAAAUGUGUUAUAGUGAUCUUCUGGGUCUUCUUGACCUCCUUACACCCUGUAGGGCAGAGCACACUGAAAAUACUAUGUUCCUCCUUUCUGUUCAUUUUAUCAGUCUUAAAAAAAAAAAUAGCAUAGCCAGAAUGGUAAGUCUCUUCCCACUUCCCACAGAAAAAGCCUUCUGUUUAACAGACAGAACGUGGCCAACGCCACAGGAGACCUGGCUAUGUUCCAGACAUGGAGUAAAGCUGACUUGAAGCACUGGAAGACUUAUGGGACAUCCUCAUGAUACAACUUCUGACCUCAGUCACGGACAUUGCUCCUUCUUCACAGUUCCACUACUGUAUUCAUCCCUGUACAAAUCUUAAUUUAGCCACAACAAGCUCAUCAUACAUUUUUAUGACUCUUUUCUCUUCCCUCAUUCUUUCUCCACCCAUAGAUUUUUUUAAUAAUACUUUAUGUGCCUUUUGCUGAUUUAUUUCUUGCCCUCUGGUAAAAGAAACACAAUUUGCUUUUAAAGACAUAUACAUGAAUACCCACAUACACACAAACAUAUUAAAUAAAAGCUCACAAAAAAACCCCUCCCAUACACCCAACUAUAGGUGAUAAAAUAAAAAUAUGGCAAAGUUAACAUCUAAUAUAAUUGUCUUAAUAUUUAAACAGAACAUAGGAAAUAAUAUUCAAUAUAAAAACAUUUAGAAUGAUUUUACUGAAUAUCAUGGCUUUGCUUUCCUGUUUUUUAGUUCAAUCAAAGGUGGAACAUACAUAAACAGGAAUACAUGCUGAUCUGAUUCAGUACAGUCUAUUUUUUUGCUGUUUUUCAUGAAGUCAUGAUUGAAAAUCCUAAUUUACACAAACAAGUUAUUGUGAAUAACAGCAAUGCAUUCUACGUAUCAAAAAAUUCUUCAAAGUUCAUCAAAAUUUAUGGUAAAAUUAAAGUCUGAUGACCAUUCUUCAGUGUAUCUGGAGAACAAUGCUCCAAUAUUUCAUUUUUAGUUCAGGAAUCAAGUUUAACUCAAUUAUUUGUUCAGAACUAUAAAAAUCAAAUAUAUGUUUUACCACAAUGUUUCUCUUAAUCUUUCAAAUAUUUCUUUGGUAAUAAUUAAAUGCCUGAGAUAGAGAAGUGAAAUGUAGUAACUCUCAUUUUUCUUUUUUUCAAAUUGUCAUUAAAAGUUACAACAAUACUGGGGCACCUGGAUGGCUCAGUCAGUUGAGCACUCAACUUAGUUUCAAGCA